rnacentral:rRNA from 1 species
UACGUAGGGGGCUAGCGUUAUCCGGAAUUACUGGGCGUAAAGGGUGCGUAGGUGGAUUUCUUAAGUCAGAGGUGAAAGGCUACGGCUCAACCGUAGUAAGCCUUUGAAACGUGGAAACUUGAGUGCAGGAGAGGAGAGUGGAAUUCCUAGUGUAGCGGUGAAAUGCGUAGAUAUUAGGAGGAACACCAGUUGCGAAGGCGGCUCUCUGGACUGUAACUGACACUGAGGCACGAAAGCGUGGGGAGCAAACAGG